UACAGAGGGGGCAAGCGUUAUUCGGAAUUAUUGGGCGUAAAGGGCGCGUAGGCGGCCUGGCAAGUGGAUGGUGAAAUCCCUCGGCUUAACCGAGGAACUGCCAUCCAGACUGCUUGGCUUGAGACCGGGAGAGGUGAGUGGAAUUCCCAGUGUAGCGGUGAAAUGCGUAGAUAUCUGGAGGAACACCGGUGGCGAAGGCGGCAUCCUGGACCGACACUGACGCUGAGGAGCGAAAGCCAGGGGAGCAAACGGG
rnacentral:rRNA from 1 species